UCGAACGACAACUGCACCAUGAGAUCCAUGGCUGCAGAUAGGGUUGAAUUGAUCUACAAAGUACGAAAAAGGACGAGCAGUCAGGCAUAAGUAAUUCUCACUUGAUAUGCAGAGAGCCAGAGCGGAUACGAGGAUGGAAAACACAUGCGAGAGAUAUAGGGCGCUUUCGUUUCAGACAUCCCGUCCCGUUCCCAAUAAAAAACGGGAUUUUCGGGUGCGUCCGUUUUACUUCAAGUAUAUAUAAGACUCAGAACCAAUACCAUUUCAGACGAAAAAGGAUACGGUAGUGAUCUAAUCAGACAUUUAGAAACCACAGCUACAGUGAAAAAACAUGUAAACACCUUUGUGUGUGUGACAAAAAAAGUUGCAAUCAUAUCUGGACUCACCGGACAUAAGCAGUUCGUUAUCAGAUCAAAUCGACCCGUGUCUGCACAAUUUACACCACAUAGUGCACAUGAACAACAAGGUUGAAUCAGAAACAGUGUAUACAGCCGGUCACGAGCACAUCUAGCAGGCACCGACAUCAAAUCUGAGGGUGAGAAAAAAGAGAUCAAACUUGGAGGUGAUUAGUCUUGAAUAAAUGUUAAGGAACGAGGGGAGCGAGAUCCGAACAAUCUUACCCAAAAAAUAGAGAGAAAAAAACCAGGGG
rnacentral:lncRNA from 1 species